AUUUCAAUCAAAACCAAGUCGGUCAUGAAGAUAACGAAAUCACGGAUUCUACUGAAGAUGCUGAGUUGAUCGACGUCGCAAGUACACCUGUCAAGAUAGCUAUCACUGGUGCCGCGACAGUGGUUGAAGAAGAUCCAGUUGCACAGUUGUCUGGAAACAAGAUCAAAAGAGUAUUUAAGAAGAAGAAGAUAGCAUAAUGUGCUAGCAUAUGUAACCCUUGGAGAAACUAAAAAUUGCUUGCUUAUUUAGUUUGGUAGUUUCAUGAGUACUUAUGAACAUGUUUGAAUUAUUUCAUGUUUUUUCUGGUAUUGAAAUUCUGCUUUUUAGAUAGUUUGAUAUUUUCCUUAGUUAUCAAUGUGAUGUCUGAAAUGUUCUGAAAA